rfam:Schistosoma rodhaini strain Burundi genome assembly, scaffold: SROB_scaffold0003483
AUCCAGCUGACGAGUAAAAAAUAGGACGAAAUGCGCGUUCUGGAU